rnacentral:rRNA from 1 species
UACGGAGGGUGCAAGCAUUAAUCGGAUUUAUUGGGCGUAAAGGGCGCGUAGGCGGGGCCUCAAGUUAAGUGUGAAAUUCCGAAGCUCAACUUCGGAGCGGCACUUAAGACUGAGGUUCUAGAGGAUUGGCGGAGAAAAUGGAAUUCCACGUGUAGCGGUGAAAUGCGUAGAUAUGUGGAAGAACACCGGUGGCGAAAGCGAUUUUCUAGCUUAUUCCUGACGCUGAGGCGCGAGAGCAAGGGGAGCAAAC